UAAUCUUGUUAUUUUUAGGCGUACAUUUGUGUUGACGUUUUUUUGCGAUGACGUAACCUUUAUGCGUUACGUCCCAAACUAUUUAUUAGAGAAUAUUCUCCAAACAACUGUUUCGGCGAGUCAAUUUUUGAAGUAUAAAGUAAACAAAGUUACGCGGAAUAUUUUUCUUUUUGGAUUAUCAAACUAAUAUCAGAUAAGUUGUUAAAUCCACAUUUAUCUUGUGCAUAUAUUUGUUAAUUAAUAUUAUUUUAUUUGUUUUUAUUAUAUUGAUUAAUAAGUCAAUAUUAUUUUGAUAACUAUGUAUUCAACUGAGAGGAAAAUUCUAAAACAACAUAUUGGAUGGAAAAAUGGUUGGGAAGGUAGGUGCCCAUUCUGUUCCUAUCUUUAGAAGUUAUUUAUACCUAUGCAAUACCUUCGCUCAGGUUAAAGAAUGGAAAACUAGUCUUGCAUCAAAUAUAUUGUACAUAUCCAUUUGAUGUUUUUCACCAGAAGUUAGUUCUACCUUGGCAGUACCUCUGCUCUACAUACCUCCUCGCUGGUCAAAGAAUGGAAUAUAAAUCUCAUAUCAAGUUUGUGUAAAAAUUUAGUUCAAUAAAUUAAGAAUUUGUAAACGUUAUCAAAAUUUUGAGUGGAGCAAUUGUUUUUCUGGUUUAGCAUGAGUAUGAAUCUGAUAUCAAUUGGAUGUACAAAGAUAGUUUACUACUUAAAGAACCUAUUAGUGAACCAACUGAUUAUAAAACAGUUUUUAAUGGGAAUAAAAACAAAUUUUCAAAAGA
rnacentral:lncRNA from 1 species